ACAGGAGCAGCGGCGGGAUCACCCGCUGCGUGUACAAAACUUGCUGCUAGGGGGCGCAGCGCGGCACGAGGGCAGUUUGUGCGGGCAGUUCGCUAAGGGCAGAGGAGGACAGCGAGUAUCUCGGCCCAUCCGAGAGGCCGGCUCACCUCUCGGUUGCCAACCAGACAGCAGAUCUAGCCAUGGCCUCCACCGCGAGGCAGAAAGCUCUGGCAAGAAAGAAUGUGGCGACCCAGACCGAGUUCCCGCCUUUUUUAUGUGGCAGUUCAGGUCUGUGGCUGCAGUGAGUUCCUGAGCCUGUGGAUGCCAGUAAAGGCCGGCAGAGGGUUCCACCUGUGUGAGGUGUGAGCAGAUGUUGUGUGCCAGAAGAUUGCCUCAAUCUGCCAGUCAUGCUUUACCAAAGCACUCCACAGCCUAUCUGGUGUGGGAGAGCAGGAGAGAUGUUCCCAGCAAACAGCAGCACAAACUGAUGGCCCUGGAGUUCUACUGACAGUGCUUCCAAACACUUAUGGCUGUGAGGACAAAAGGAAUGAACGAGCUGCCUUCAGAUUAUGCUAAGCAACAGAAGCAGAGGUGCACGUUGAUUUUGGGAGCAGAAGGAUUUCCCACGUUGCUAGUGAAGUGUCUGUUUAAAGGUAACACCUUCUCUGCGGCACCGGUGAAGAAACUGCAUCCUGGUGUUAGACAGUCCUAAAGGACAGAAGAAAGAAAACCAGAAAGAGAGAAAGGACCACAAAACCCUGGUAAUUCUUCUCCCUUUGGGGAGACUUGUGCCGAGGUUCCUGUGCAAAACCAGCACAGCUGUAGGAAUUUUGAAAGCCUCUUGCUAUCAUCUCAGCAGACAGGCUCCUGGCAUGGAUGAAUUAGCACAGCUGCCAUCUAAGAUGUGAUCUAGUUCACAUGGGCGUCAAAAAAGAACAGCUUCAGUUUGUUAACGCUUUCCAUGAACAAGUGACUACAAAGAAAUAAUGUUGUUUAAACAGUUAGUUUCCCAAGUUUUGACAUUUAUAAAGCAAUUCACUAUUUUUAUUAUUGUUCUCCUAUUCUUGCUCUGUGUUAACUCGAUUCCACCUUAAUGAUUUGUUUGUUUUAUCUAGUCUUCAACAACUCUGCUGGAUGCUUCUUUUCUGUUUAGAAAUGGGAUUCCAUACUGCAUCAACCCUGUGAUCCUGCUGCUUGUGUGCUACUUGUGAGCGGGGAUAUAAACAUGCUUUCAAUCCAGCAUUUUAUUUACAAGGAAACUGGGCCAAAUUCCUCCUUUGUGAACUGAAAAAGUCUCUCUAGAUCAUACGUGCCCAACCCAUUAGUUUUAUGGUUUUUGUUGCCCUCUUUUUUAUGCUUUAAUGAAAAAUAUAUUUAAAAAUAAGUACAUAUGUUAUAUAUAUAUUAACAACAUUAUGUAUUUUAUGUGGCCUAAGACAAUUUCUCUUCACGCAGUGUGACCCAGGCAAGCUAAAAGGUUGGACACUCAGGCUCUAGACUAUUUAGGGGGAAAAAAAGCAUGAGAAGGGGUUCCAAAGUUUUUAACAUUUCUGUGUUUUUUGCUCACAGUUUUGGAAAAAAUGUUAUCCAUGUGCCAUGAAAUCAAAGCGAGGGGAAAAAGCAACUUUCAACAGCCAGUAGUGAGAAAUCCCUGUCCUCAGCUGGGCUUAUGAUAUACUCUUGGAAAGAAGAACUCAUUUUUCCUUUCUAAUUUCAGAGCAAUACUAGAUGUCCACAAAGCAAAUCCAGAUCUACUGGCCAAGCUGUGGAUCAUAAGGUGUUGUAGUGGUAGACCUGUGCUGCCCAAGCAGGCUUAAGUCUGGCUUGUUCUCUUGGGCACUUCCCCCUCCACACCUUGAGCUCUCUCUUCUAAAAAAAAAAACCACCAAUGUGAGCUGCAGGCGAUAUCUAGAAAAGUAAAAGCGGGCUGAAUACCCACCAGCUCAGGGCCAUGGUCUCUUUUUGGCGCUGAUCCAUGAGAUGAACCACAGGUGUGCCCUGGUGGGGGGCUGGCCCUGUUCUGCCCUGGCUACAGCUGUGGGCUAUUGCUGCCUAACUGCCUCCUGAUGGGAACCUGGCAAGAACAGGGUUUUGGUGUUAAGGUGUAAGUCUUUGGGUGUGGGGAUUGCUAUGUCCCUGUGACUCCCCUACUCCCUCAAAAAGGCUACUGAGGGGCAAGGGGCUGUUUUGUGCCUGUGAGAGGAUGUCAUGGCUCCAGGUGACGGAGGCUCCCUAGAGAGAGCUGGUUGUGCCCAGAUUUCUUUCUUCUCCCAGUGAGACAACCAACUGUAAGUGAGCAAACCACGGGGAUGUGGGUUUCUGCAUAACAAGGGGGGGAGAAGUUGCUGUGUGCUGCUGCUGGAUGUGCUCGCGUUGCUAUUGCUGUUAACAUUUAGUUCCCUGAAGUACCUCAGCUGACAUAACAGGCUUUGUGUAGUCGCAGCGCAUUGCUCUCGCGUUUCUCUCAUGUCUUCAUUCUCUGCUGCUUAACCUCUUCACCCUCGCCCCCAUCUUUGCCUUCUUAAGGUUCGUCGCCUGCUGCGCUGCUGCUAGAAAUCACUCUGCUCUCACUGUCAGCUACUUACUUACUUCUAAAUCACUUCUUUUAUUUCCCUUCUCGGAUUCCUUGUAAAGGAACGUUAUCUGCCUGUGUGUGUUCUUGUACAUUUUCCUUCCCGCUGUUUGCCUGACAAUAUUUCUGUCAGAAGCUGGAGGAUUAUUUUAUGGCACACUCUGCAUUAUCUCCUAUGACAGAUUGUGGACGUUGCUUUUGUGUUGUGUGAGCAUUGCUGUUGCUCUUCUUCUCCAUAGUCUCGUUUUGUGCUUUUGAUAAAUGGUACAAAUAAGAUCCCUUGGCUUGAAGGAAGCCUUCACGUGAGCCCUCUCUAUGAAAGUGCCAGGCAGAAUGUACACCUGUGCUGAAAUUGCUCUCCGUUUCUUCCUUUUUAUUGAAGUUUCAGUGGAGAGCUCCCAGAGGGAUGCGUAGGUUCAUAGAGUGGUAGCAUUGUUUGAGUUGAGAGGGACACUUAAAGGCCACGUAGUCCAACUCCCCUGCAAUGACCAGGGACACCUACAGCUACAUCAGGUGCUCAGAGCCCCCUCUAACCUGACCCUGAAUGUGUCCAGGGAUGGGGCAUCCACCACCUCUCUAGGCAACCUGUGCCAGUGCCUCACUAACCUAAAUCUCCCCUCCUUUAGUUUGGAACCACUUCUCCCUCUAUCAGAACAGGCUUUGUUAUGGUCCCCUUCUUUCCAAUUCCCCCCCUUUAGAUACUGAAGGGCCACUAUCGGGUCUCCCCGGAGCCUUCUCCAGGCUGAACAGCCCCAGCUCUCUGCCCGUCCUUGCAGUGAGGUGUUCCAUCUCCCCUGCUCAAAGGUCCAGCACGACCAGAGUGUCCGGGCACGCAGUUGCAAAGCUGUGCGGGCUGAGUUGGUCCGUGCGAUAUCAAAAUCUGCCUUCCGCUGUCUUUUAUGAACGCAGCCCUGUGCAGAAGGACGGGGUUUUCUGCGUACAGAUCUCACGCCCUUCCGCGUGUGUGCAGGGUCAGGGCUGGGAGCUCGUGUCCCCCCGUGUCCCCCCGUGCCCCCCGCUCUCCCCAGCCGCCCCCAUCCUUGUUGGGGGUCCGAGGAUGAGCGAUGCAGCCGGGCAGGACGGCUUUAGGAGAGUCUUUUAUCAGGUGCAUCUCCGUUUUUCGAGUGCCUAUCGUAUCACGCAAACUGCUCUUGAAGAGCCCUCCAUUUACCCUCUCCCCUAAUUAAAUGUGCACUUCAUUAAUGUAAAUUGGGGGUUUAAUGCUCUUGUUGAAAUUCUGAAGAAAGUGCUAUGGCCUCGCGAAAUGCUUAAGCAUCAUUGCAAAUUAGAUUAGGGACCAAGAAAGGCAGUAAAAUUAGAAUGAUAAUGGUUGAUGUGGCUUCCUGACAGGCGUGACUAUUCAGGGAUCAAUGGGAUGGAGAACAGUUUCCCCCAGCCGAAAGCGAAAGGCAGGGACAGACGUCAGCCUACAGAUGUGGCUUUUGGAAGCUCUUUCAAUUAGUUUAAUUUGGUAAAUGGUGGGGAUUUAGAGGCUCUUAGCCAGUCACACAAGACAAGAAUACAUUGAAAUGUUUCUCGGCUUUUUAACAUAAAAUAGGAUCGGCCGCAUUUGCAUUUCUUAA